rnacentral:rRNA from 1 species
AUUGAACGCUGGCGGCAGGCCUAACACAUGCAAGUCGAGCGGAUGACGGGAGCUUGCUCCUUGAUUCAGCGGCGGACGGGUGAGUAAUGCCUAGGAAUCUGCCUGGUAGUGGGGGAUAACGUUCCGAAAGGAGCGCUAAUACCGCAUACGUCCUGCGGGAGAAAGUGGGGGAUCUUCGGACCUCACGCUAUCAGAUGAGCCUAGGUCGGAUUAGCUAGUUGGUGGGGUAAAGGCUCACCAAGGCGACGAUCCGUAACUGGUCUGAGAGGAUGAUCAGUCACACUGGAACUGAGACACGGUCCAGACUCCUACGGGAGGCAGCAGUGGGGAAUAUUGGACAAUGGGCGAAAGCCUGAUCCAGCCAUGCCGCGUGUGUGAAGAAGGUCUUCGGAUUGUAAAGCACUUUAAGUUGGGAGGAAGGGCAGUAAGUUAAUACCUUGCUGUUUUGACGUUACCAACAGAAUAAGCACCGGCUAACUCCGUG